UGGGGAAUAUUGCACAAUGGGCGCAAGCCUGAUGCAGCCAUGCCGCGUGUGUGAAGAAGGCCUUCGGGUUGUAAAGCACUUUCAGCGAGGAGGAAGGUGGUGAGCUUAAUACGCUCAUCAAUUGACGUUACUCGCAGAAGAAGCACCGGCUAACUCCGUGCCAGCAGCCGCGGUAAUACGGAGGGUGCAAGCGUUAAUCGGAAUUACUGGGCGUAAAGCGCACGCAGGCGGUUUGUUAAGUCAGAUGUGAAAUCCCCGGGCUCAACCUGGGAACUGCAUUUGAAACUGGCAAGCUAGAGUCUCGUAGAGGGGGGUAGAAUUUCCAGGUGUAGCGGUGAAAUGCGUAGAGAUCUGGAGGAAUACCGGUGGCGAAGGCGGCCCCCCUGGACGAAGACUGACGCUCAGGUGCGAAAGCGUGGGGCAGCAAACAGGAUUAGAUACCCUGGUAGUCCAGCGCUGUAAACGAUGUCGAUUUGGAGGUUGUGCCCUUGAGGCGUGGCUUCCGGAGCUAACGCGUUAAAGUCGACCGCCUGGGGAGUACGGCGCAAGGUUAAAACUUAAAGGAAUUGAC
rnacentral:rRNA from 1 species